UACGUAGGGGGCAAGCGUUGUCCGGAUUUAUUGGGCGUAAAGAGCGUGUAGGCGGCCGUACAGGUCAGCUGUGAAAACUCGAGGCUCAACCUCGAGACGUCGGUUGAAACCGUACGGCUAGAGUCCGGAAGAGGAGAGUGGAAUUCCCGGGUGUAGCGGUGAAAUGCGCAGAUAUCGGGAAGAACACCCGUGGCGAAGGCGGCUCUCUGGACCACAACUGACGCUGAGGCGCGAAAGCGUGGGGAGCAAACAGGG
rnacentral:rRNA from 1 species